rnacentral:lncRNA from 1 species
GUCGGGCGGAUAGGAGGGGUCGGGCGAGCCGGACUGGGGUCGGCAACUCACCUUCUUCCUGAAAGGAAAGCUUGGGGUCGGGAAGAAGCAGACUUGGGCGGAGGGACUAAAGCUUCGAACAAGGGCUAAGACUGGGAAUGCUACGGCGGCGGCGGUGCUUCUUGCAGAUCACAAGAGAGCUUUUACGCAGCACGGAGGAGCAAGCUGCGGGGUGACUUGGAGAAAACUGAGAGAGAGUCUGAGAGAAGAACUCCUCAAGAACUUGGUGGGUGGCGCUAGGAGCUUGAGCAGGGA